AUUGAACGCUGGCGGCAUGCUUUACACAUGCAAGUCGAACGGCAGCGCGGGCUUCGGCCUGGCGGCGAGUGGCGAACGGGUGAGUAAUGCAUCGGAACGUGCCCAGUAGUGGGGGAUAGCCCGGCGAAAGCCGGAUUAAUACCGCAUACGACCUGAGGGUGAAAGCGGGGGACCGAAAGGCCUCGCGCUAUUGGAGCGGCCGAUGUCGGAUUAGCUAGUUGGUGGGGUAAAGGCUUACCAAGGCGACGAUCCGUAGCUGGUCUGAGAGGACGACCAGCCACACUGGGACUGAGACACGGCCCAGACUCCUACGGGAGGCAGCAGUGGGGAAUUUUGGACAAUGGGGGCAACCCUGAUCCAGCCAUGCCGCGUGCGGGAAGAAGGCCUUCGGGUUGUAAACCGCUAUUGUUCGGGAAGAAAUCCUCUGGGCUAAUACCCCGGGGGGAUGACGGUACCGGAAGAAUAAGCACCGGCUAACUACGUG
rnacentral:rRNA from 1 species